UCUCCAGUGGCUUAGUGGUUCGAGCGUCCGCCUCGGAUGCGGACGAUCGUGGGUUCCAUCCGCGGUCGAGUCCUUUUAAAGAA